AAAAUCUUCUUGCUCCUUUCUUCCGAGAGUAAACUUAUCAGUUUUGAUUUCUGUCUAUUAUGCUAGUUAAUUGUGAGUGGUGUUCUUUGUAUCAUUUUAGGAGUGCCUGUUCGGCCUGUACGCAUAGUAUGUGUCAACGGCAAUGUACUGUCAAACGCCAAUCCAGCUGCUCGACCAACAUUUCGGAGUGUGUCUCAGAUUGUUAAGGUAGUACGGCCCGGCCUUCGGCCAAUAUUGCCCGCCACUUUGCAGCCAUCAUUGCGACUUGCCAAUCGGCCAGUAUUACGGCUUACUGCCCAACAAUCAUUGCGGCCGGUGAAGCUAAUCACCCCCCCGCAAGUGACUCAGCCUACUCAGCAUGUGCCUUCUUGCCAGAUACGGCUUACUGCCCAACAACCAUUGCGGCCGGUGAAGCCAAUCACCCCCCGCAAGUGACUCAGCCUACUCAGCAUGUGCCUUCUUGCCCUACACUUCCAUCUGUAAGACCAGGUACUGGAGUUGAAAUAAGCUAAUAAUUGUAAUAUCCAUUUUAAAUUUAGCUUAGAAAGCUGAAAAAUUAGUCACAAACGCUCAAAGUGAUCAUACGAGGUCUUUCAUAUAAGAAACUGGAUUUUGGUUAUAACUAGUGCAUUGUGCGUUCGAAUUAGGUUUCGUUGGACUUUCCUGAUAGCUGAUUACAUACUGAAGAACGCAAGAUUCACAGAUUUAGUUUAUUCUCAUCUGUGUUCAUUAUGUGUCACCUUAAAUACGAGUAAGUCAGGUGCAUUCUGCGAUUUUCAUCACGCAGUCAUUGAUAGAUAAAAGAUUUAUCAUAAAAUUUUGUUUUGAACUCGGUAUACCUUGUAACAAAACUUUUGGUAUGCUAAGUAAAGUUUACCGAGAUCAUUGUAUGAGUUGUUCUCCGGUUCAAAACUGGUAGGAGUCCGUCGAAGAUGAGGAGCGCAGGAAUCGACCAUUAACGGCACCUGACAUUUGCCACAUGGCGCUCGAAAAUGGUCGUUUGGAGCUUGCUGAACAGUGUGAUAUUUCUGAAGGCUCUGUACAUACAGCUUUGUUAGAAUAUUUACACUUGCAUCAAGUUUCAGCUAAACUUGUCUGGAGACUGUUGUUGUUGAACAAAAUCCAACCGAUUGUAAAUUUUCGUUGAGCUUCUUGAACGUUCUAACA
rnacentral:lncRNA from 1 species